CGUUACGACAGAAGCGUAUUGCGUUGAAUUGAGGGCUGUUUAACUCUUCAGCUGAACGUGAGUUUAGUGUACUGAGUUAAGUAGUUAUCCGUCGUGCCUUUUCUGUGGCUGAUAUUGAGCCGCGGGAGAGGGAGGGAUCCCCUUUAUGGGUGAGGACGAUGGAGUGGCAACGCGAUGCGACCCGUCUUGAAACACGGACCAAGGAGUCUAACAUGUUUGCGAGUUGAAGGGUAGUAAACCUGGAGGCGCAGUGAAAGCGAACUUCUAAAACGGACAGUUUGUGGCGGCAUAAAAUCGUUGAUUUUAGGUCUGACUAAGAGCAAAUAUGUUAGGACCCGAAAGAUGGUGAACUAUGCUUGAGUAGGCCGAAGGCAGAAGAAAUUCUGCUGGAGGGCCGAAGCGGUGCUGACGUGCAAAUCGCUCGUCGAACUCGAGUAUAGGGGCGAAAGACUAAUCGAACCAUCUAGUAGCUGGUUCCCUCCGAAGUUUCUCUCAGGAUAGCGGGCCGACAAUUAUUGUUUUGUGCGGUAAAGCGAAUGAUUAGCGCACUCGGGGGCAUUCAGUCUUCGGUCGAUUCUCAAACUUUUAAUGCGCAAGGGGGCUGCAGCUUAGGUGUGCGGCUCCUCUAAAAAUGUCGGCCUUGUGGGCCACUUUUGGUAAGCAG
rnacentral:rRNA from 1 species